UACAGAGGGGGCAAGCGUUAUUCGGAAUUAUUGGGCGUAAAGGGCGCGUAGGCGGCCUGGCAAGUGGAAGGUGAAAUCCCUCGGCUUAACCGAGGAGCUGCCCUCCAAACUGCUUGGCUUGAGUCCGGGAGAGGUGAGUGGAAUUCCCAGUGUAGCGGUGAAAUGCGUAGAUAUUGGGAGGAACACCAGUGGCGAAGGCGACUUCCUGGCCUGUUCUUGACGCUGAGGCGCGAAAGCUAGGGGAGCAAACGGG
rnacentral:rRNA from 1 species